AAGAUACUAGAACAACAGAGAGCGUGAGAGAGAGGUAAACGUGAACGUGAACAACAAAACGAGUGAAUAAUAGUAACAUAAGGAAAGUUGACAGAAGCCAUUUUGUUGCAUUUUAUUUGGUGUUUAGUGUAGUAUGUAGUAUCGAUGGACUCAUACAAGUAGUUUAAAUUAUUGUGAAAAAGUGUUAAUAAUGUGAUGGUGGUCAAGAACCUGGUGAAUACUUGCCGACGUGAACGUGGACUUAAAAUCUCAACCGUGUUGAACUUUGGACAAUACCCAUUGUAGUCCUACUAGUUCUAGCCUAUCGAAAGACAAAUAGUUACUUUUUGUCUUGAUUCACACAUUACAAAACGUUAUAAUUAUCUUAUGUGUGUGAUGUAUAUAAAUGAAAGUAUGCAUAUAUAGUAAUUGUUGUGCCAUCAAGUUUAUGGAUAGGGACUUAAUUUCUAAUAUGUAGUCACAACAAACAGCAAACUAUUGUGGUAACUAACACAUUUCCUGCCCAUGGAACUGACUAUUGAAUAUUACCUAAGUCUGCCUGUAAUUAAUUUUGGUUUAUAUCUUUGUACUAAAGGUAUGCUACCUAGAGACCAAGAGGCCUAUUUUAGUAUUUAGUCAAAGUUUCCGUUGUACAAAAUAGAGCUAGAUCUCAACCUUUCAAGAUGUCGAGUGAAAAGCCAAGGUGUAGACUUUGUAUGCAUCAUAAACCAUACCUUGCAACAUUAUUUAGACGCAGUCUUUCAAUGAAAGUAAUGGAAUUAGCGGAUGUUCAGGUCAUGGAAAAUGAUGGAUUGCCGACAGUCGUAUGCAUUGACUGUGAGAACGCUGUUGAAAAGUGCUACAGUUUCAGGACUCAAAUUCAGUGGGCAGAUAAAAAGUUUAGAGAAGAAAUGUCAGUUUCUUUGGUGGAAGUGGAGGAAUGUAGUAUUAAAGAAGAGCAUGGAGAUUUUAUGGAAGAUGAUUCUGAUUUACAUAGUGACAGAGGCCACAAUGAUGAUGCUGCAAAGGGCACUGGUGAUAAGGGACAAGAUGGACCUGUCAUUCCUCUGAAUCAUGUUGAAGUGAUGGAAACAAUCGAGACUGGAAAUCAGGUUCAGAUGAUUGAUGAUCCUCAGGGCCAAGCAGAACCAUUGAUUGAAGCACCUUUUGCUGCAAAGGAAGAGGAACGUGCCAUGGAUCCACUGAUUUGCACUAAAGAGGAAGAUGUAUCGAUGGAGAGUGAUACCAAUAGUGCAACUUCAGCCCCUGCCUCUACAUCAGAUUUCCCGGUUAAGAGAUCAAUGCCUGCAAGUUCAUUCAGUAUUCCAUCAGACAAUGGAUCUAACCACGAAUCAGGAGUGAAGACAUUUCUACAAAACUAUCAACACGAUUCAACAUUGCAUAUUGAAUCCAUACAAAAUUCUACACCCAGUACAGACUUUUCUACAUAUGAUCACACUGGUUUGACAAGACUUCCGGUAAAUCUAUUAACGUCUUGUAAAAAUGCAGAUGUAUCUUCGAACUUAAAUGUUUCGUUGAGCAGUCCCCUAGUAAAUCCUUUCGGCUCUGUGUGUAGAACUAGUAACAAAAUGUUAUUGAUUUUACAAUUAAAACCAUGUUCAACACCUGUAAAUAUUGCCAAAGUUAGUGAGUCUAACAUUCCAAAUGAUAACAGACCUACAUCUAAUAAUCAAGUCUAUGUGAAGUUAAAAGAAAAUAAAAGUGAUAAGGAAAAUGAAAGCUUACAGUUGAAAACUGGAAACCCAGCAUGUGAAAGUUUGACACGAUCAAAGGUAGAUAAAAAUAAAUCUGCAGUUUGUGAGGCAGAUGAAAGUAAUAACACAACCAGAGGUUCGUUCUGUAGGGUCUGCUACGUGGAGUGUGGCAGUCUGGAGCUGUUACAGGAACACAUGGAGAGGAACGAACGUAUGAUCUGUCGAGUGUGUACUGCAGAGUUCAACAGCCACAAAGAACUCGAAACUCAUUUCUUUACUCACAAAAAGUACAAUUGUAAGGUCUGCCAAGAAAGAUUUUCUGAUAGGAAAAGUCUUUUGGACCACAGGAAAACAUCAGCAAGUUGCAGUUAUCAAGAGGAAUGCAAAGUUUGUGGUAAAAAAUUCUUCAGUAAAAAAUACCUAGACAAACAUAACUUAAUAUUCCAUAACAAGAGUGGUGGACUGUUUAAGUGUGUAGUCUGCGGAAAUGGUUUUAUUCUUCUUGAGCAACUGAACUUUCACUUACAAAAUUGUCACAAUGCUUACGAGAAAGUAGAAUGCAGCAUUUGCCAUAAAUGGUAUUUAGGACCGAUAAAGUUGAAGAUGCAUGUCAAAGCAGCACAUCUAUAUUGCAAGAAGGAUACUGAAAGAAGUGAUACUGUUUGUACGAUUUGUGAAAAGCGAUUCUCAACUGUUCAAAGUCUUAAGCACCACAUGAAAAUUCACGAUGUUACAGAUUGCUUGUGUGACUUAUGCGGUAAAUCUGUUAAAGGGAAAUCUGCAAUGAAAAGACACAUGCAGAACGAGCAUUCUAGAUCUGGUACAUUUGUUUGUAAAACUUGCAAUGAACAGUUUGAUAUGGAGGCGGCAUUGAAUAGACAUAAAAGAGAAGUCCACACGAAACGGGCAGUCCCACUUCCUGUCUUUUGUGAAAUAUGUGGUAAAGAAUACAAAUCAAAAGCAAUUUUGAAAGUUCACAGAUUUACUCAUUUUGAUGAAAAACCCUUUAAAUGUGAAAUUUGUGGUGCUUCUUUCAAACAACAAGGUACUCGAAAUACACAUAGAAGAGUACAUAACAGUGAGGGUAAAUUCCGGUGCAAUAACUGUGAAAUGACUUUUAGGUGGAAACAUGUAUACGCCAGGCAUGCAAAGAAAUGUGUGGGUGAAGGUUAAAAAUGUGUAGUUGUAAAUAGUGGCAUAAUUGCUUUUACUACUUAGGAACAUUAGACCUUUGAUUGUUACUUAAGUUGAUCUCUCUUUCAAGUUCUAUAAUCACUUUUCCACCGUGAUAGUCAAAGUUAAUGUGUAAUAUAUUCUUAAGAAAAAUUACACUUUGAAAGGUUUUGUUUCCAUCUUAAGCUGUUGUAGUAGUUUUUAAAAGCUAUUACAAAAAUCAUCUUAGACGAGUUAGUGAUGAAAGUAAAAAUGUUAUAAAUACUCACUAAUUCUCAGAAAAUAGUGAUAUCCAACAAGUAACAUCCAUAUGGUUAUACAAAUAUUAAUUCACAAUUUGUGCAAUCUAUCUACUUUUGCUUGAUGAUUGUGCAACAUCAAGGUUGCUGCACAACUGAUUUAUAACAAUGUCAGACUAGUAUUUAUGUCUUAGGACCAUUCACUUCUUAAUUCUGAUUUAUUAUUAUUAUUUUGAAACCAUACAAGUGAUAUUUUAGAAUCCAGUGUGGAAACUACAUCUCAUUCAAAUCUACUUUUUAAAUGAAACUGUACAAAAGAAAAUAUUUGUGGAAAAGUUAUAUAAUAUAGUGAAAAUAAUUAAUACAAUUUUCUCAGAAUUUUGCAUUGAAAUAUGCAAAGAUAGAAUUGUCAAUAACAGAUCUCAUUAUUUAUUUCAGAUAUUGGUAUAUUCUCUCUACAAAGACAGUAGUUAUAUCACACACUAUUCACAGAUUAAGCUCCCACCAAAAAAUUGCACAUAAUAUUGUAGGUAAUGAGAAUAUGCAAGACAAAUGUUUUGUCAGAAAAAAUGUAAAAUGUAAAAAUGACAGUCCACAAUUUUCCAGUGGCCAUUGUAAUAACCAGUCCAUAUUGAAAAACAAAAUAUCCAAAUUACAUAUCGAAUUAGGUGCAUAUAAGCAGUGUAUUUUUCCUAUUAAUUCCUUCAUUAAAGCAAUGUUAUGAUUUUGACGUGCCUUGUAUACUUUGUACAACUUUGAAUGUAUUUGUACAGUAUUAUAAAAAAAUCUAAUCUAAUUCUAUAUCAUUCUAAUGUAUUAUGAAGCACUUAUUUAUACAUUACUUAAAUAGUUUGAAAUAACAAUAAGUCUUAAUACCAAUAAAUCCUACUACUGUUUGACCUUAAAAGUGGUGUGAAUUUUUAAAUAGGACAGACUUAAAUCAGACAACCCUGCAAGAUUUUAUAGAUACAGCUAUUAAUAUAAAUUAAGUUGAAUAUUUUCAUGAUCAAACAAAUAGUUAUUUCUGUGGAAUAAUUCAUAAAAAAUUAUAUAAAGAAUAAAAUACAUGUAAAUCAUAAAUAUAAUAAAAUAUUAUUUAUCACCUGUA
rnacentral:misc_RNA from 1 species